AUCAAAAGUAUGCUUAACAAUGCAUGGUAAUAGGCUUGCUGAUUCUGAAAUGUUUAUAUCGAGUAGAAAGGAAAUUAAAAUGAUCUCUAAGCACUAUUUCAUUGUAGAAGAUAAGCAUAAAUGCAUAGGACGCUGCUUUUCACACUACAUAUCAUAAAAUCAGCAAAAUGUCAUCAAUAGCAUUUCAGUUUUCCAUCCCACAGCUCUGACCACAAACUUGGCUUUCAACCAGGAGCCAAGAAUGAAAAAAAAAAGGCAAGUCAUGGUGACAAACACAUUUUGUAUGAUCU